CUCUUCAAAUUCUUCUUUCUCCAUUUCUCUUAAGUGUAUCACUUACAGAAUGUGAAGGUGCCACUUUCAGUAGAGAGGUUAUGUCUGUGACCUUUUUAUUAUGCUUUGAAAUUAAUUUGAGCAUUGGAAAAGAAGAAAAGCCUACAAAGCAACCCUCCAGAAGAACUUUGUUCCCCUCAGGCAGUUGUUCAGUGUAGCAAAUACAAGGAAGUAGGGAAAGCAGGGGAAAUGUGACGCUUUUUUCCUUGGCAUGAAUUCUUUAAGAUACUUACUCUCAGGCCUACAUGAUCUUGUUUGCUGGUGCCACAGAAGAUGACAGAAAUAACUGCUGAGAGCAAAAUGAAAAGUGUUUUAGAAUUACGGGGUGGCAGAAAUCUAUGGCAAUUUGUAGUACCUUUUUCUGAUAAAGCCACAAAUGAAAUUCACAUCUGGAGCUCGUGGAGGUUUAAAUGCCAGAACAAUUGCAGUGCCUUGGAAUUCCACGUGAGGGCAAUUACCAGCUCUGUGUGUGUAUUUGGGAACAAGUCUCAGUGCUGUUGCCAGAUGGCAGAACUAGCUUUUGAAAGGUUUGUCUAGCUACAGUUGUCCUCGUGAAUAAGUGGGACUCCUUGAUUAAAGGGCUGCUGCUUGGAGGCAGUAACUAAAGCUAAACGUUUUUAGGGGAGGCAGCUGAAAGAGCUUAUUUUUGAUGUUAUGCUUGUAUCUUUUUUUUUCUUUCUGAAGCCGGGACCAAGAAUAAGAACCUUACAUGCUUGUCCUCUGCAGAUGUUUGUGGUGGCAGUAUUAAGUUGAUAGAUGACUUUUCCUUAGGCCCAAGGGCUGAGAUGCAUCACUGCACCAUUGUGAGGCCUCUGCUAAUUAAGGCCGCAGAGGCUGCAUAAACUGGCUCUGUCAAGAAGUGGCUGGGAUCUGCCCUGGGGCAUUUGGUCCACUGAGGAAGUUGCCCCUUAAGUUAUAAAAGGAUAACAGUAGUAUGAUCCCCAGAUAAAAAGGGCUUUGCAAGGAUCAUGUUUGCCUUCUCCCUCACCAGUGGUGUCUUGUCUGCUCUCUGCUGGCUAUUGCAUGCUGAACUAAGUAAGACUGAUGAGGAGAGAGAUAUAUUUGACAGUUAUCUACAGCUAGAAACCUGUGAAGGUGUGUAAGAGUGAGAAACUGAUGAUUCCACCAGGAGGCAAGGCUGCAUGGGUCAUCUGUGACACAGGAUUCCUGUAGCUGCCUCUCAGGUCUGAGAGUCUUCUGAACCUCAGCUGUGCUUUGGAGCAUUUAGUUUUUGUCUGAUAGGAAGUGUGUUUCUUGGAGACGGAGGAGAGAAUGGAGGAGGAAAAGAAAGGAUUUGUGGAACUGAGUAAAAUCUUCAACUCAAUAUCGUGGUAACUGGCACAAAAUAUGCAAGUAUAUUACAGAGUAAAAAGGAUAUGAUAUCUGUUAAGAUGUAAUGAACCUAAGAAAUGAAAAACGUGGUAUGACUGAUUUAAAAACUACAUAGCAGUUGACUGUUGCUGGCACAAUAAAAGUUGGGGAAAACUUGUGAAUGCGAGGGCAAGAAAAAAUUUCUCAUAAGACUUGAUUAAAAUUUUAGCAACAGCGUAGGCACAUCAGUGAUUUUACCUUCCAGAAAGAUACAGAAAAAAAUGAAUGAAUAUUUCAUACGGUGUUUGGGGGUGAAGAAGUAUGAUCCUCUUGUGCAAUACGUGACAUACCAAGGUCUCCCAGGGCACCUAGCUGGCUGUGGGGAUGUGGUUGUCAAACAGCAUCUGGUAGCAGCAAGCAGCCAAGGAUCACUGGGAGAGGUGGCUGAGGGGCCUGGGGGUGGUAGGAACUCUCCAGCAGGUGGGGAGAGGGCAGCUCUGCAGGGAGGUAGAGAGGAAGAACAAGGUAAGAGUGGGCAGUGCUUUGUCUCAGCUCAGUUUGAGCUGACAAUACUGAAGGAAGUAUCAGUUAUUCCUACCUCUGCCUGGCGUUAGCCAAAAAUGAGCUAUGAAGAACAAAGCAGUGCAGUGCUCUGCAAAGUCUGUAGAGCAUUUUGGUGUAUGGCAUGCAGAGUUCCCUAAUCUGUAUCGUGGUUUAUGAACAAGGAGCACUGGGGACAGAAAGUCUCUUCAGCUGUUCUGGUGUUCACUUCCCAGUCUUGGCAUUUGCUGAUGGUGAAUCCUAAUUAAAUGGGGUCUGUGAGAAUGCCUAAUAGGGCUGAUGAUCCACGCUGCCAUCAGAGAUCCGGAGUUGAUACGGGGUUGCUGUGGAGAGAAACUGAGGGUAAGCCAUAGAUUGACAAGAUGAUAAAUAAAGCAAACACUGCCUUACAGAGUGCUUUGGGUCUGUUUCCUAGCUUGAACUGAUGCCAAUGCAGUGGGUUCUUAAUGACCCGACUGCAGAGUUACAAGUCUCUGCGCUGAAAGCUCUGGUCUUACCUUCUUUAUCAAGACUGAUGUCUGGAAAGAACUAGCUUGGAGUGCAAUUCUAGGGGCACAGUGGGCAGGUAAUUUGGCAAGGGCUUGCCAAUGUCAUGCUUGGCCCCAAAGGAUGAUGUGGGGGUAAAAAAUGAGGUGGUAACUGGAGUGGUUUGCUGCCUCAGUCCUGCAGCAUUCAGGAAAAAGGCUUCAGAAUAGCGGCUUUAGUAUGGAAAAUGAGAGAAAAGAAUGGAGAAUGGAAGCUACUGAAAUGUUUUUGAAAACUGAAGGCGAAGCAAACUCCAUCUGUUCAGUUUACUGAGUAGAGACUGAAAGGGGACUGUUGAAUUUUCUCAAAGGGGAAUUUUGACAUAGUAAAAGAUGUAUAUAAUGUAAAUAAAGGGCUGCAAGAGAAGUCCGCAGAGACUGAAAUAAAAUUCCUGAGUGUGUUUUUUAACUUUUUUGAUUGACUAUUGGAAGUUAUCCAGGGAAGUGAAGGAUUCCCUGUUUCUUGAUGCCUUUUUAAACCAUGGGUUUUUAUGAUGUGUUAUCCUUGGAGGGGGAAAUCAUCAGCCAUAUGAGGCAGGAAUGGAAGGAGAUGGGGUCUCCAGAAGGUUGGUGUAGCCCCUUGGUUUGUAAGUGCUGUGAAUCCUAGCUAGGAUUUCAUCCAUCCUGCUCUUGUGGUAAGAGUCCUGGGACGUUGCUGUGUUCCUGGGGCUCCGUGUGAAGAUGGAAGUUGCUGCAGCACAGGUUAGUGAUGGCUCAGAGCUGGUAGGUCCCACAAGCAGAGCAGUUCUGUGGAACCUUGGAGGAACUGAUUGCCUGGAUGCCAUGAAAUAAUGGAUAAGAUUUGAAUGGAGAAGAUUUAAAAAGAGGGAAAAAAAACCCACAACACACAAAGCCAAACAUAAAUAUGUUGGCUUACUGCUCACUUUCUUAUCCUGUGCCUCGUUAACCAUUAAUCCUGUACAAACCGCUUACUGCCCUGCCCCGUAUUGAUACUGAAGCUGAAUGCUGCCAGCCUGGUCCUUAUCUGCUGUCAGGCUCCGCUUUCAGGGGUCACAACAGUCCCCAGAGGGGGUCAGGAGCAGCUUGGUGGGAGACGGGCAGCCUUCUCUUUGCCUGGCACGUGGGAGGUGGGGAAGGAGAGGCAGGCAGUGAAAAAUGCAUUGUAAGGGUGCUGCGGAGAUCCUGCACGGGAGCGAGCUGGGCCAGCACGAAGCUAUUUAUACCGCAGCAGUGUGUCUGUCGCCGUGCCAAGAGCUCCAACGGGUGGAACCAUAACGAUGGCACUGGGUUGGUUUGGAAAUAAGCAAGUGCUGGCACGCUGCAGCUGCCCAGGAGGAAGGGGUGGAAAGCAGGCGGGAGAAUAGGAUGUGAUGAGGGCUUUUAUGCAUCUGUAGUUCAAAGGUGAACGACGAGAGGAGAAAGCUGCUUUGUUUAGCUUGCGAUAAGCUCUGUUUUGAAAGUCACUUGUCUGCUCUCUUCCUGACAGCACACACGUGCCCUGGAUGUGAGGUUUGGUUCCUGACCAUUAUCGGGAUGUUUUGGUGGGUGUCCCCGGUGGACUUGCAGCUUUUGGGUGGUGCUGAAGAGGCGGCCCUGUCCCCAGCACCCCGGGAGGGCAGCUCAGGGCUGCCAGCUGGGUCCCCUGCUCUUCUGCUUGACCUGCUGACGGAUCAGUGCUCCAGCUUCGGGCACUCCCCAGCCCUCCCUCUGUUAUCCUGCCUGUGGGACUGUUCCUGCCUCACCCUACGCCUGCUUUGGCGUGCCUGGGGAGACCGCAGGCAGCCCCCUGUUCCCCGGGCAGUGUGGUGGAUGUGCCCAAGGCUCCUGAGGAUGAAGGCAAGCCGGUCACGCUGAGCAGCAGGUGCUCCAGCACCCUCACCAUGCGCUCAGCCAAACCCCUGGCUGGGGACAAAAGGGGUUGGGGGGGCCUUAAACACGCUGCAAAACCCGAUCCUGGGAAGGCAGCAGUGCCAGCUGAGGCUCUGAUGGAGGAAGAAGUGCUGGUUGCCAUGGUUACUGGGGAUGUUAACCCUGUGGGGUGCGUUUUGGCAAGGGGAGGGACGUGUCCCUGCUCAGCAGCGGUGCCCCAGCCCUGCGAGCUCCAAGCUGGCCUCUGGGAGCUCAAAGCCUGGGUCCUGCCAGAGGCUGUGAGCGAGUGCUGGUUGUUAGCCUGCCUGCUGCUGCCUCGUGGGUGAGAGUUUUGGUAACCAUCCUCAGGUGCCACAAGGAAGUGGAUCCCAGAUUUCGGAGGGCUGGCUGCUGCUGAGCGACUGGAGGCUGUCUCGAGCUGUGGUUCGAGGGUUAAUCUGUGCAUAGAACAAGCUGUGGUUAUUCUUCCCUUUCUCUUUUAAGAGGAUGUGACACAAGCUUGAAAAUCACCUUAAUCUGGCUUUUCUAACCUAAAACAACAGAGUAGAGGACAGGGAAGUAUUUGUCUUAUCAAGGCGCUGAGCGUGGCUUUGAAAAGGCUCCACAUGCUCUGUGUUGGGUUUGUUUUCAGUGGGUAGCUUAGCCAAACGGCUCUAAGAAGGGCUUCUGCUUCCACGUAUCCUUUCCCCCUCGGCUCACUUAUUUUGGCCUGUGAAUUCAGCGUGGACACACGGCUCCGUUAGCUGCCAUCAUCAGGUCUCAUUUUCCUUAUUUCCUUGGAGCAUGGGGUGCGCUCACAAUAAGUGAAUGUGAGCGGAAAACCACAGAUGGGAGAGACGAGACUGGGAAAAGCAAUCUUAAAAAUUCCCUUUUAAAAAAUGAAACCUCUGUUUAACAGGGUGCAUUGGAAGUGGAAGGGAUUCGUGCUUCACAGGUACCCAGGAGCCAGCCCUGCAGCAGCCGGGAGGAGGAUGGAGUCCCACGUGUGUUCAGCAGCAGCAAAGCUUUGUCCCUCCUCUCCAAACACGGCGAGCGAGGUCUUUGAAAUGGCUGGAACUGUGGGUUUAAUGAUUUCCCCCCUUCCUUCCAAUCCUCCCUGCCUGAAGGGUUACAGCCCAGUGCUCUAGUUUAUAAGGCAACCCCACAGAAGGCUGGGUUGGCACUGAGAGCGCAGCCCCCUCGGCUCUGGGGUGGGAGAGUGGGAGCAGCUUGGGCUCUGCCACCAGCCAGCAAAGUCCUGCUGAACUCCCAGCCCAGCUCAGGCUUUUUUAUUUGGGGCUGGCUGGGUGCAGUGGUUUUGGAAGAUGGAGUGUGUGCAUUGUGCUUUUUUUUAUUUGGUGUUUUUCUUCUUGUUUGUGUCUGAUUUUUUUUUUUCUCCUUUUGAGAAUAAGAAAAAUGUUAGCCUUAAAAAUAGCUGCCAGGUAGAUCCAAAGCUUCCAGGUCUCUGAGGGGUGGACUUCAGGGGUUGUAAUUCUCGCCUGCAGCUCGAUGCUCACCUUUUCUUGCUUCCAGGGAAGACAGAAAGGAAACAAAACAACCAACACAAAAAUCCCACAAACAAUCCCCCACAAAAAAAAAAAGGCAAAGAAAAAGGCAAAAAACACUUCUGAUCCUUCUAUUUGUAUGUGCUCCUUCAUUCCCUUCCCUAGAAAUAUCAGCUUGGCUGUCCCAGUGACAGCAAAAAGGAUUAAUGGAAGAGCAGAAUUGGGUUUAUGUUUAUCCCUAAUCCAAAUUUCAUAUUAUGCAGCGAACCUGGCAGCUGUGAAGCUUGGAUGCAAAUGCCAUAGCUGAAGAAUACAACUCCGUGAAUCCAGAAAUGAGAUAACUGGUGUUUAAUUUAGGAUUCUGCUCGAGUGUAGCUACAGAAAUAAUACAGUCAUGGCCACUUCCACCAGAAGCUGCAGUUGCUGCACUUAAAAAAAAAAAAAAAAAAAAAAUAAAAAAAAAUGCUCAAAUAUGAAGGUAGGCAGUAUUUCAUUCUAGCUGAGGCAACUUUUGAUGCUUAAAGUGUCGAUAUUACCAACAGCAAAAAAAAAAAAAAAAAAAGGCUUCAAAGGCUCUGGGUGUAUCCCAGAAAUGGCUGAGUUGCCUCAAACUUCGCUGCAGUUCCCCUUUGUUUGUCAGCUGCUGUGCUCGUUGCUGUUGCAAUGCCGUGUGGAAAUCUCAGAGCAGCUCUUUCAUCAUUAUUACUGCAGGUUGAUAUUUCUGGAUCCGGGAUGCAUAUUUAAAUGAAAGCUGAGGCUUUAACCCUUUCACAGCAGGGGGUUUGUGUCUGAGCCAGGAAAGCAAUUCAGUUCAAAAGGACUAGCGUGUGUGUUUGGGAUGCGUUUCACCGAAGGUACAGACGACUUUUUCAAACAAAAAGAAAAAAAUAAAAGCCCAGAUUCCCCCAAACCCCCCAAAGAAGAGGAACGUGUUGGAGAGUAUCCAGGAAAAGGGCGUCUGAUCUAAGGUAGCUGCGUAAUCCUGGAGGAAUUUUUGCUGCUGUGCUGCGGGGGGGGCAGUCACCAGUUUCUUCAUGUGCCUUGUUCUCUCCUGCCACCUGUUUGUUCCUCUUUUUCACUGCAGUAUGAAACGGGCCCUCAAACGUGGCGAGAUGACCCAGUUUGAAAAUGCCAGCUGCCACCACAGUUGUGACUGCAGGGGCUGAACCAGAGCUGGCGCUCGGAAGAAGCACGAUGCGUUUUUUUUUUUUUUUAAGAGAAGUUCAGAGACGAGGUGACGAGGAUGUAAUGGAGUGAUGAUAGCGCUAUUAAGAGUCACCCUGGCAGCCAGCCUUGAUCUGAAAGGCGUUUGGGAGCAGUCCUAGGCAGGCUGAGAGGCGCUGUGUGAGCUGUAGGACCAGUGUAACGAGAAGCAGCAGGCUGCAGCUACGCCGGGCUGCCUGGCCCAGCCCUGGGCUGGGCUGAGUGUGCUCCAGCCUCUGAGCCUUUCGGUGCAGGUCUCUUUUCCUGACCUCAUGUCUCUUAUUGUAGCUUUGAGGGAAGAGUAAGAAGGGUGAGGAUCUGGAAGGUAACUGCUUGUUUUGUCCUGGAGGUGGCUGGUGAGCAAAAGCACCAACAGGAGCGUGUUGAUAGGGAUGUGAUGGGAGCUGUGCGCAGGCAGGGAGGAGCUCCUGUGGGAUACGUCUUUCCCUGAGGAAUGCUUGAGGACGUCACGGGCAUAAGGUUGCUGUGAUGAAUUCACCCUGCUGCUGAGUGUGACCUUUACAGAGGUGCUAGAGCAGGAGGCAGAGCCAGACUUUCUCAAGAACAUGUGCCAGAGCUUCCCUCUCCAUAAUGUUUGUUCUAGCAUUCUUUGCUCUAAUUAGGAACCACUCCUGCUAAUUAUUUUUCCUGUACUCUUAUUUUUGCCCUCCACAUGCAAGUUAUUUUCCAAUCAUAUGCUUCUCAUGCACUUUCACAUGGUGGUAGGGGUAGUUAUGAAUUUCCUAGCACGGCAAGCAUCGGAAGUAAUAAAUAAUAACCUAAGGAAGGUCUGGGCUUCUAAAUCCUGGCCGAAAGCAGCGGCCACAUACCAUGUUUUCAUGUUGUCUGGGGUACCAGGAAUUCCCCUUCGACUUAACCUGCAGCAGGCACUUGUUAGGUGCCUUCAUUCACGGCCUGCCUUAGUCCAGCAGCUGGCCUGUUCCUGCAGCACGCAAGGAUGGGAACUUUCAAGAGAUUGGGGCAGACAGCGGGGGGUUACAGCCACAGCCACCCUCAAGGUAAGUCACUCCCUCUAGGUUACGCAGUCCCUGUGCAUUGGAUGUGUUUGUCUCGUCUCUGUCCUGCUUCCUUCCAACGUGCUUGCACCCAGGGGACAAGGGAGCCUUUCCAAGCACAUCUGAGAUGUCAUUUGGGAUUCUCAGCACCCUGGUGCUGUAGUGCAAAGAGUGCUGCUGUCAAGAGGUCCUCCCCUUCUCAGAAGGGUCCAGUCCCAAACAUCUCAAAAUGCGUUUUUAACUGCAUAUGUAGAAGGAACAAAAGCAUCUCAGCAGUACUUAAGAAAAUACAAUGAAGAUUAGUUCACAUCCAUUAUCAAGCUGCCUUCACUUGGUCCCUCUCUUUAUUCAUUUAGUGUCACAACUUGUUCUCGAGUGCAGAACUCUUCUGGGUCACUGAGAAGCAGUCUGUGCUCCAGACCCUUUUCACUCACUUAGCGAGGGAGGCCAGCAGCAGCCAGCCAACCCCAACCCCACCAACCCCCUACAUUCAACCAAGAAGCACUGCUCCUGUGCCUGACCCCCUCACCAUCCCCGAGCAGAGCCUUCUGCUCCAGCUGCUGUGGAGCUAGAGGCUGCUGGCCGCACCUGGAGGGCUCUGCCCUGCCUGAGCAGCUCCGUGCUCAGCACAUUGCUGCCUCCCAGCAGCCGUGGGCAGCUCCGCAGUGUGACUCCGGCUUCUAUCCCCUCGCUGUCUGCUGGCCUGCCCCACGCGUCCUACCCGCCCGAGUGACAUUCUCCAAGGAGGUGGCUAAGGGACAAAUCGUUCAUUUCUCUGCCUUUUGUGUGCGUUAUAAAGGGGGUCAGCAUGGCUCCUGCUCUCUUGCGAUGGGUUUUAUUAUCAGUAACAAUAAUAACGAGCUGUAAUUUAGCCUGAUGGCCAUUCUGCUCCCACACACCCCUUCUGUGUGGGUGCCCCGGGUCGUGGCGUGGCAGAAUUACCCAUGCUGGUUAAGGAGCUUGGCUCUGCUGCAGAGCUUUAUUAGUUCGUGUUCCUAGCACAAUGGGAACGCAACGGUUCUGGGUUUAGACAAGAGCCUUCAAAAUCUUGUUGAGGGUGGGAAAUGAACCCCGUGGAAGGUUUCAUCCUCUUUACAGGGCUUUGUGUCUGGGUGUUCACUGGCAGCUUCGGAGGCUGGUUGACAGCAAGCUGCUUGAUCCGGCCUUUGAGCAGUCUGCUGACCCAGACUGGCUGCUCUGUGCUAGGUUUUUUGGUAGGUUUUUUGUUUGCUUUUGCGUAUGAGGUCGCUCCUUUCAUGAAUUACUUUAUUCACUUGCUCAGAAAGCUGCGUUUCCAUGCUGCUGGUGUAAUACAAAAUGAAUUUCAGCAGAUGCAGCGUGACAUGUGGAUGAGGAGUUGGGAAAUGUUCCUAGGUAUGAGACCUAGGAUGAACCUUGCAUGAGACUGCUAGUCUGAGUCUGUUUCCCCACACUGACUCUGUUGUUAGUGUGUCAAACUUUUUUUUUUUUUUUCCAAAGUAGUGAAUGAAGAAAGGCUGAGAGAGCUGGGGCUGUUCAGCCUGGAGAAGAGAAGGCUCUGGGGAGACCUCACGGCAGCUUUUCAGUACUUAAAGGGGGCUUAUAAAAAAGAUGGAGAGCAACUUUUUGCUCAGUCAAUGACAGGAGAAUGGGGAAUGGCUUUAGACUAAAAGAGGAGGGAUUUAGAUUAGAGGUUAGGAGGAAAUUCUUCACUCAGAGGCUGUGAGGCCCUGGCACAGGCUGCCCAGAGAAGCUGUGGAUGCUCCAUCCCUGGAGGUGCCCAAGGCCAGGCUGGAUGGGGCUUUGGGCAACCUGGUGGGAGGUGUCCCUGCCCAUGGCAGGGGGUUGGAGCUGGGUGGGCUUUAAGGUCCCUUCUGACCUGAGCUGUUCUAUGGAACUGUGGCUUUUGGAAACGAUGCAUGGAAUCAGCUACUCUUUAGGAGUGCAAAAAGUAGUAAUUUCCAUAAUAAAAUCUGCGUGAGGGAGGCUGCUUUUAAUCCAAGUUAAUGUCUCUUGAACCAUCUGAUCAAAUAAUUCUUUAAAUCUCCUACCCGUUGUGACAAGCACAUUGAUAAUGCAGCUACUUGCAUUGCUUGGGCAUGUUCCUGCCUUGAAGUAUGUAAUCUGGGGCUGUGGCUUCUCUGCAGAGUGAACUCAGGCCAUGGACUGACAGCGGGGUACAGCUGGCUUUAGGACUCCCUGUACUGAACCGUGCAAAGAUCUGCUCUGCUGUAAGCCUGCUCUCGUUAGGCGUGUGCUCUAUGCAGUUACCCCAGGGUCACUUCCUUGUCUGCGUCUCGGAAGCUCACACAGGGAUUGAGCAUUGCCUCCCUGCCAGCAGGCACCGUGUGCUGCUGUAUGUUCUGACACGGGAUCCCAAAUCCUCAUAGGCUAGUGGGCCGAGUGGCUCUGCCUGUUUGGUGCUGGGUCCCAAAGGUGCAGAUUUCCCUGGGCUGGCAGAUCGCCCUCAUCCUUCCCCCCUGUGGCACACAGGAGGUGCCCAGGGCUCUGUGCAGGUACAGCCGUGCUGCCCCUCCAGGAAAGCAGCGCUGAUGCCAGGGCUGAGCGAAUCUCCAGCUGAAGCUUAAAUGCAUCCCACGUGCAAGAAGCGGUCUCUUUUCCCCCAGAGUCCUCCGUGUGCAUCUUUACAAUUGAUUUGUUCUGGGUCUCGACUUCUGUUCCGAAAGGAGGGGGAGAGGAGGGGGAGAUGGAGAGCCGCAUCCGAAAUCCCUCACAGGUUCCAGCAUUGAUCAGACCCCGUGAAGCACAUUACCGAGGCUGUGAAGGCUGCUGCUUUUGUCCUUAUUUCACCCUGUUCUGUCAGGGUAUUGCAUCACGUAAUAUGCAAAGUGUUCAGAGCUCCUGCAGUACCCCAGUAAUAGGGGUGAACUGAGGUUGCAGCAACAGCUCUACCUCUGCAUUCCUGGUGCGUUCCCUGGGCUUUAGCGCUCCCGCCUCUGCUGCAAACCCUCCUCGGGGUCACUGAGUCCACCAGGCACAACAUGAUACUUGUGGGGUCUGUAAGAAGCAAGCUGGGGCUGGGUGUGGGGGCAGUUCUCCCCAAAGACCCACUUGGAGAGAGCAUUUCAUCUGCUCAAGUGGUGAGGAGGGGAGGCAUCGCUUUCAGGCGUCUCUCUCCUCAGAGCUCUCCCACCCCCCAGCCCAAAAUUAAUGCUCCUGUUUUACAUCUCUGAAUUCACGGCUUGAGGAUGCGGGACUGAAAAUCAGCAAUGCAGUUGUUUGCUCGUGUCAGCCAAGAGGGUCCCCUUCCCUUAGCCUCCAGUGAGGAAUUCUUGCGGAAAGGCAGCUAGCAGAAGGAAAGGCUGAGAGAGAGAGACAGCUGGAAACAAGACCACGAUGUUCAAGGGGCUGAGGGCACCAUUUUGGGCAGAAAUUCCUCUUUCUAGAUGGUGGAGGAGAAGCACUUUCCUCUGCUCCCUUUCUUGUUCCCCUACAUCUCCUUUCUCUGUGUUAAUGUUGCGUUUGAGGUCCUUCGGUCAUCUUUUUGUAGCUCUCCCUCCCUGUGUUAGAGAGAGGUGCUUUUUGAAAGCAUCUGAGCACCCCGUGCUCCUCUUUGCUGGUGAGGAUGUGUGCGUGGCUCUGUUCCCUUCGUGUCCCCACCUUUUAUCCCCCUGCCUUCCUGCACAUGACUGCCUGUAGGAAGCAGCUCUCUGGGUGCUCCUUCCACUCUGGGCAGGGGGUGCGCGUGGGGUCCUGCUCUUCCCCACCACAGCUAAAGCACAUAUAAGGGAAGAAACGUAGCCCAACUGGUAAAGAAACAAACCAGUUUGUGCUUUUGCUCUGUCCCUCCUCCUGCAUCUGGUUUCUAGUAGCAACAAGAGCCUCCAGAGGAGCCGAGCAUCUCCUGUGUCACACAGACACCCGUCUCUGCCCAAGUGCUGUCGUUCUGGCCCACUCUGUGCAGAAACACUUCCAGUACCGGGCUGGGUGUGAGGGGAGGGGAGGGCGUCCCCAUCUCCCCUGCUCAGCUGCAGUUGUGCUGGCAGAGGGACAUGCAGUGGCACAGCUUUUGCCGGGGCUGCUGGGCUGGCAAGUUUGUCUGGUGUAAGCAGGGCUCUGCCCCGGGCUCCUGCUGCAUGCACAGAUCGCUGCUUGCACGCCGAGCGUGGCUGAGUGCUGCUGAAAGGCAGAAUUUCACGUGCCCGCUGCCCUGGGCUCGCUGGAAGCACGUGGGGGAAGGCAGGGGUGGAAGAGAGCGCUUAUUGCUCUGGGCUGGCAUGCGAAGCAUGAAGCUGGUGGCAGCUCCAGGCUCUGCUGGUAUGGGAGGCGAAAGGGAGCCUGUGACUCAGCCGGUGCCCUGCUCUUUCUUGCUCAGCUCGUGUGGAGGGGGAUGGUAAAAAGAAGGGAGUGCUGGAGACACCGCCAGACCUCCCCGAUGGUGCAAGCACCAGAGCGAGCCAUAGCUAGCCAAGAAGCGACAGGCACAGUGAGCCAGGUCAGCUUGUUCCCUGCCUGCGUGCAGGAGCACAGCGCCGGCCUCCUUGUCCUUUCUUCUGCAAACACUCCUAGGGGAUAGGAAGAGCUCUCCUUUGCUCGUGGUUGGUGUGCUGCCUUGUUGUCUCUUUUCUUCUCUCUUCCUCUGAAGCAGCGAGGUACAACACCGAGGUGUUACAUCCCCACCAUGCCAAGGAAGGCAUCCUGUCCCCUUUCACGGUGCAGAUUGCUGGUAGCAGACACUCUGGUGUUCUGACUUAAUUCAAGAAAAAUCCCACUGGUGUGGGGGAUCCUUGCAAAUGUUCUUAGGAUCUUGGGAUUAGGAGAGAAAAGGCUGUAAUGAUUUUUAGGGGUGGGGAGCAAGGGAGGGGAGAAGAAUGCUUUCAUUGCCUGUGGUGUCUGGCACAAGAAAUGUAAUAUGCUGGAGAGCAGAAUGACCUCAUCUCGUCUCUGUAUAUAUUAAAGGAUAAGAUGCUGAAGUCAAAUCAGGACCCGUAGAUUUUUCUCCAGUGAAGCGAGCUGGUUAAUGCAGCAGUACUUAGCAUUCAGGGGCUUAAUUCAGCCUUGGACUUCAGAGAAUACAACUCCUUUCCUUCCUCCCUUCCUUCACCUCCCCUGUAGACAAAAUGUAUCACGCUGCAUGUGGAAUACCUGUCCUGAGGAAGCCAAGAGCACUUAGCUGAAGUACUGGGAAAUGCCAUACUUAGGAUUUCCUGGCAGCCUCUGCUUUUGGUGUGCUUAUGAAGUCUGGGAGCAUCCGAAGUUGCACAUCUGCCCACAUCCUUCUGCUCUUCCCUUCCUCGUUCCGUGGGUGGAGGGAAGGAUGGUGUGUGAAGAGGCGGUUCCCUUUGCUGUCCCCACGUGGUCCUCCUGGAUGCUGUUAUCUCCUCGGGCUGUGGUUCUGUGACCUUUUCUGUCUUCCUGUGGCAAGGCUGGUUUCAGAGGUUCCUACCCUGCUGAAACCAUCAGGAUGUUCGAUUCAGCAAUGCAGCAAUUUCAGCCCGAGAAGCCUCUAUCACCAUCCUGUCACCUCCAAUGGCCGUGCAACUCUUCUGUGAUGUUUGUAUAACACCAGAAGAGGCUGUCAGCAAGCAGGGAGGGUUUUUAUCCCAGUCCAGCACCAUCCUGAGAACCAACUUGCUAACUUGGAGAGAUAGAUGCAUGUUUGCUGCAGGGCUGCAACCGAGUGGCUGCGGCUCCACCUUUCCUCAGAGGGCUGAUAAAACCUAGUGAACCCAUCCCGAGUGUGGUCCAACAAACAGGCUCGUCAGCCUUUGGGAGUGCCCCUUGUGUGCAGGUGGGUGGGGAGAGCAAGAACUCUGUGGGGUGUCCUCGCUGACGUGCAUCGUGCUCUUCUCCUGCCAUGACAUGCGGCUGUGUCAGUGUUCUCACAGGCUUCUCCAUGGCAUUUAACAAAAUAAAGGUGUUGCAAAAAAAAAAAAAAA